AUUGGCAGCCAUAUCACCCUGCAGCCCAAGACUGGUCACCCACUGAAGCUAAGCAGGGUUGAGUCUGGUCAGUACCUGGAUGGGAGAAAACUAGGCUGCUGCUGUUA
rnacentral:rRNA from 1 species